CAGUCGAACGGAAUUUACAUGAAGCCUAGCGAUUGUAAAUUUAGUGGCGGACGGCCGAGUAACGCGUGGGUAACCUGCCUUGUACUGGGGGACAACAGUUGGAAACGACUGCUAAUACCGCAUAAGCGCACAGCUUCGCAUGAAGCAGUGUGAAAAACUCCGGUGGUACAAGAUGGACCCGCGUCUGAUUAGCUGGUUGGUGAGGUAACGGCCCACCAAGGCGACGAUCAGUAGCCGGCCUGAGAGGGUGAACGGCCACAUUGGGACUGAGACACGGCCCAAACUCCUACGGGAGGCAGCAGUGGGGAAUAUUGCACAAUGGGGGAAACCCUGAUGCAGCAACGCCGCGUGAGUGAAGAAGUAUUUCGGUAUGUAAAGCUCUAUCAGCAGGAAAGAAAAUGACGGUACCUGACUAAGAAGCCCCGGCUAACUACGUGCCAGCAGCCGCGGUAAUACGUAGGGGGCAAGCGUUAUCCGGAUUUACUGGGUGUAAAGGGAGCGUAGACGGUUUUGCAAGUCUGAAGUGAAAGCCCGGGGCUUAACCCCGGGACUGCUUUGGAAACUGUAGGACUAGAGUGCAGGAGAGGUAAGUGGAAUUCCUAGUGUAGCGGUGAAAUGCGUAGAUAUUAGGAGGAACACCAGUGGCGAAGGCGGCUUACUGGACUGUAACUGACGUUGAGGCUCGAAAGCGUGGGGAGCAAACAGGAUUAGAUACCCUGGUAGUCCACGCCGUANACGAUGAUUACUAGGUGUUGGUGGNUAUGACCCAUCGGUGCCGCAGCAAACGCAAUA
rnacentral:rRNA from 1 species